rnacentral:rRNA from 1 species
UUGUGAGGUUAAGCGACUAAGCGUACACGGUGGAUGCCCUGGCAGUCAGAGGCGAUGAAGGACGUGCUAAUCUGCGAUAAGCGUCGGUGAGGUGAUAUGAACCGUUAUAACCGGCGAUUUCCGAAUGGGGAAACCCAGUGUGUUUCGACACACUAUCAUUAACUGAAUCCAUAGGUUAAUGAGGCGAACCGGGGGAACUGAAACAUCUAAGUACCCCGAGGAAAAGAAAUCAACCGAGAUUCCCCCAGUAGCGGCGAGCGAACGGGGAGGAGCCCAGAGCCUGAAUCAGUGUGUGUGUUAGUGGAAGCGUCUGGAAAGGCGCGCGAUACAGGGUGACAGCCCCGUACACAAAAAUGCACAUAUUGUGAGCUCGAUGAGUAGGGCGGGACACGUGGUAUCCUGUCUGAAUAUGGGGGGACCAUCCUCCAAGGCUAAAUACUCCUGACUGACCGAUAGUGAACCAGUACCGUGAGGGAAAGGCGAAAAGAACCCCGGCGAGGGGAGUGAAAAAGAACCUGAAACCGUGUACGUACAAGCAGUGGGAGCCUCUUAAUGGGGUGACUGCGUACCUUUUGUAUAAUGGGUCAGCGACUUAUAUUCUGUAGCAAGGUUAACCGAAUAGGGGAGCCGAAGGGAAACCGAGUCUUAACUGGGCGUUAAGUUGCAGGGUAUAGACCCGAAACCCGGUGAUCUAGCCAUGGGCAGGUUGAAGGUUGGGUAACACUAACUGGAGGACCGAACCGACUAAUGUUGAAAAAUUAGCGGAUGACUUGUGGCUGGGGGUGAAAGGCCAAUCAAACCGGGAGAUAGCUGGUUCUCCCCGAAAGCUAUUUAGGUAGCGCCUCGUGAAUUCAUCUCCGGGGGUAGAGCACUGUUUCGGCAAGGGGGUCAUCCCGACUUACCAACCCGAUGCAAACUGCGAAUACCGGAGAAUGUUAUCACGGGAGACACACGGCGGGUGCUAACGUCCGUCGUGAAGAGGGAAACAACCCAGACCGCCAGCUAAGGUCCCAAAGUCAUGGUUAAGUGGGAAACGAUGUGGGAAGGCCCAGACAGCCAGGAUGUUGGCUUAGAAGCAGCCAUCAUUUAAAGAAAGCGUAAUAGCUCACUGGUCGAGUCGGCCUGCGCGGAAGAUGUAACGGGGCUAAACCAUGCACCGAAGCUGCGGCAGCGACACUAUGUGUUGUUGGGUAGGGGAGCGUUCUGUAAGCCUGUGAAGGUGGCCUGUGAGGGUUGCUGGAGGUAUCAGAAGUGCGAAUGCUGACAUAAGUAACGAUAAAGCGGGUGAAAAGCCCGCUCGCCGGAAGACCAAGGGUUCCUGUCCAACGUUAAUCGGGGCAGGGUGAGUCGACCCCUAAGGCGAGGCCGAAAGGCGUAGUCGAUGGGAAACAGGUUAAUAUUCCUGUACUUGGUGUUACUGCGAAGGGGGGACG